rnacentral:rRNA from 1 species
CUUCGGGUCGUAAAGCUCUGUUGUUAGGGAAGAACAAGUACCGGAGUAACUGCCGGUACCUUGACGGUACCUAACCAGAAAGCCACGGCUAACUACGUGCCAGCAGCCGCGGUAAUACGUAGGUGGCAAGCGUUGUCCGGAAUUAUUGGGCGUAAAGCGCGCGCAGGCGGUCCUUUAAGUCUGAUGUGAAAGCCCACGGCUCAACCGUGGAGGGUCAUUGGAAACUGGGGGACUUGAGUGCAGAAGAGGAAAGCGGAAUUCCACGUGUAGCGGUGAAAUGCGUAGAGAUGUGGAGGAACACCAGUGGCGAAGGCGGCUUUCUGGUCUGUAACUGACGCUGAGGCGCGAAAGCGUGGGGAGCAAACAGGAUUAGAUACCCUGGUAGUCCACGCCGUAAACGAUGAGUGCUAAGUGUU